rnacentral:rRNA from 1 species
GACGAACGCUGGCGGCGUGCUUAACACAUGCGAGUCGAACGGAAAGGCCCUGCUUUUGUGGGGUGCUCGAGUGGCGAACGGGUGAGUAACAAGUGAGUAACCUGCCCUUGACUUUGGGAUAACUUCAGGAAACUGGGGCUAAUACCGGAUAGGAGCUCCUGCUGCAUGGUGGGGGUUGGAAAGUUUCGGCGGUUGGGGAUGGACUCGCGGCUUAUCAGCUUGUUGGUGGGGUAGUGGCUUACCAAGGCUUUGACGGGUAGCCGGCCUGAGAGGGUGACCGGCCACAUUGGGACUGAGGUACGGCCCGGACUCCUACGGGAGGCAGCAGUGGGGAAUAUUGCACAAUGGGCGGAAGCCUGAUGCAGCAACGCCGCGUGCGGGAUGACGGCCUUCGGGUUGUAAACCGCUUUCGCCUGUGACGAAGCGUGAGUGACGGUAAUGGGUAAAGAAGCACCGGCUAACUACGUG